UACGAAGGGGGCUAGCGUUGCUUGGAAUCACUGGGCGUAAAGCGCACGUAGGCGGCUUUCUAAGUCAGGGGUGAAAUCCCGGAGCUCAACUCCGGAACUGCCUUUGAUACUGGAGAGCUUGAGUUCGGGAGAGGUGAGUGGAACUGCGAGUGUAGAGGUGAAAUUCGUAGAUAUUCGCAAGAACACCAGUGGCGAAGGCGGCUCACUGGCCCGGUACUGACGCUGAGGUGCGAAAGCGUGGGGAGCAAACAGG
rnacentral:rRNA from 1 species